GACGAACGCUGGCGGCGUGCUUAACACAUGCAAGUCGAACGGAGUGGCGAACGCGUGUGUAACACGUGUGUGAUCUGCCUUGCACUUCGGGAUAAGCUUGGGAAACUGGGUCUAAUACCGGAUAGUGCAAGAUGAGCUCGCGGCCGAUCAGCUUGUGGGUGGGGUAGUGGCCUACCAAGGCGUCGACGGGUAGCCGGCCUGAGAGUGUGUACGGCCACCUUGGGACUGAGAUACGGCCCAGACUCCUACGGGAGGCAGCGGGGGGGAAUAUUGCACAAUGGGCGGAAGCCUGAUGCAGCGCCUCCGCGUGGGGAAUGAAUGCCUUCGGGUUGUAAACUCCUUUCGACAGGGACGCGGUACCUGGAUAAGAAGCACCGGCUAACUACGUGCCAGCAGCCGCGGUAAUAC
rnacentral:rRNA from 1 species